rnacentral:rRNA from 1 species
GAUGAACGCUGGCGGCGUGCCUAAUACAUGCAAGUCGAGCGAACAGACGAGGAGCUUGCUCCUCUGACGUUAGCGGCGGACGGGUGAGUAACACGUGGAUAACCUACCUAUAAGACUGGGAUAACUUCGGGAAACCGGAGCUAAUACCGGAUAAUAUAUUGAACCGCAUGGUUCAAUAGUGAAAGACGGUUUUGCUGUCACUUAUAGAUGGAUCCGCGCCGCAUUAGCUAGUUGGUAAGGUAACGGCUUACCAAGGCGACGAUGCGUAGCCGACCUGAGAGGGUGGUUGGCCAACACUGAAACGAGAACCGGUCCCGACUCCUAAGGGAGGGCGGAGUAGGGAAUCUUUCGGAAUUGGCCGAAGGCCGGCGGAGGCACCGCGGGGUAGGGAAUAAAGUCUUCCGGUUGGUAAACCUUUUUAAUAGGGAAAAAAAAAUGUGUAAGGUAAUAAGGCAGUUCUGACGGUAACCAAAUCAGAAGGCCCGGCUAACUACGUG